GAUGAACGCUGGCGGCGUGCUUAACACAUGCAAGUCGAACGAGGUCCAUGGAGCUUGCUCCGGAAGACCUAGUGGCGAACGGGUGCGCAACACGUGAGAAACCUGCCCCGAUCUCCGGGAUAACAGUUGGAAACGACUGCUAAUACCGGAUGCCGUCACACCGCUUCAUGGCGGAGUGCCGAAAGAUUCAUCGGAUCGGGAGGGUCUCGCGGCCUAUCAGCUAGUUGGAGAGGUAACGGCUCACCAAGGCAUCGACGGGUAGCUGGUCUGAGAGGAUGAUCAGGCACACUGGGACUGAGACACGGCCCAGACUCCUACGGGAGGCAGCAGUGGGGAAUCUUGCACAAUGGGCGAAAGCCUGAUGCAGCAACGCCGCGUGCGGGAAGAAGGCCCUAGGGUUGUAAACCGCUUUCAGUAGGGAAGAAAAUGACGGUACCUACAGAAGAAGGUGCGGCCAACUACGUGCCAGCAGCCGCGGUAACAC
rnacentral:rRNA from 1 species